rnacentral:rRNA from 1 species
GACGAACGCUGGCGGCGUGCCUAAUACAUGCAAGUCGAACGCAGUGGGGACGGGUGAGUAACACGUGGGUAACCUCCCAUCAGAGGGGAUCACACUUUGCCACAGGUGCUAAACCGAUACUGAUGGAUGGACCCGCGUUGCAUUAGCUACUUGGUGAGGUAACGGCUCACCAAGGCCACGAUGCAUAGCCGACCUGAGAGGGUGAUGGGGCACACGGGGAAUGAGACACGGCCCAGACUCCUACGGGAGGCAGCAGUAGGGAAUCUUCGGCAAUGGACGAAAGUCUGAACGAGCAACGCCGCGUGAGUGAAGAAGGUUUUCGGAUCGUAAAACUCUGUUGUUAGAGAAGCGGUAUCUAACCAGAAAGCCCCGGCUAACUACGUGCCAGCAGCCGCGGUAAUUC